AAGACUAUAGACCUGCGGAGUACCUGCGGAGGGAUCAUUACCGAGUACCGGGGCCUUCGGGUUCCUACUCCCACCCUAUGUUGACUUUAAAUGUUGCUUUGGCGGACCGGUGGUCUCACCGCUGGCCUAGGCUGGAGAGCGUCCGCCAGAGGAUUUUAAACUCUGUUUAACGGUGAAUUCUGAGUCUUGAUAAAUUGAAUCAAAACUUUCAACAAUGGAUCUCUAGAUCGGAAGAGCACA
rnacentral:misc_RNA from 1 species